AUUGAACGCUGGCGGCAUGCCUAACACAUGCAAGUCGAACGGCAGCAUGUACUGUACUUGUACAGUAUGAUGGCGAGUGGCGAACGGGUGAGUAAUGCGCAGGAAUAUGCCUUAAAGAGGGGGAUAACUUGGGGAAACUCAAGCUAAUACCGCAUACACUCUGAGGAGUAAAGCUGGGGACCAUUUGGCCUGGCGCUUUAAGAAUAGCCUGCGUCCGAUUAGCUAGUUGGUGGGGUAAAGGCCUACCAAGGCGACGAUCGGUAGCUGGUCUGAGAGGAUGAACAGCCAAACUGGGACUGAGACACGGCCCAGGAUCCUACGGGAGGCAGCAGUGGGGGAUAUUGGACAAUGGGGGGAACCCUGAUCCAGCAAUGCCGCGUGUGUGAAGAAGGCCUGAGGGUUGUAAAGCACUUUUAGUGUGGAGGAGGGUGUGUAGGUUAAGAGCUAGCACACUGGACGUUACACACAGAAAAAGCACCGGCUAACUCCGUGCCAGCCGCCGCGGUAA
rnacentral:rRNA from 1 species